rnacentral:lncRNA from 1 species
CUCCUUGCCUUCUCCUUUCUUCUUCACCUUUCUCUUUCAUGGGUUUAAAGAAAUAAACAAAACUCAAAAAUAAACCUCCAUUAAUCUAUUAGAUCUAAGCUUCCAUUCAAGAAGUGACAGAAGAGAAAGUUGUUCAUUGCCACACUGCAGUGCUAGUGAGCUAGUUUUCGACGCGACGUCACGAACUUAAAUUUUACCAGAAUUAAUUACGGUACCGUAAUCGCGUUUUAGAGCUAUCGUUAAGGUAAGGGCUCCUUCCAAAUUUUAGUUUGCAUUUAGGACAUUAUUUGUGAUUUUG